CCAUUGUGGAACAUGUGUGAAACCUGAUGGCUGACCUUGCAUGUGAGAAUCUCCUUGUUGUGCCAUGAAUGAAGGUGGUGGAUGACCUUGCCUUUGCAGUGAUCCUUGUCCAGCCAUGAAAGAGUGUGGUGGAGCUCCUUGUUGUGGCACAAAAGAAGGUGGUGAGGACUGCUGCACGUUUCUUGCAAAAGCUGAUGGCUGAUCUUGCAUCUGCUGUGAUCUUUGUCCAUCCAUGAAGGACGGUGGUGAAGCUCCUUGUUGACCUUGCAUCUGCUGUGAUCUUUGUCCAUUCAUGAAAGACGGUGGUGAAGCUCCUUGUUGAGUGAAAGAAGGUGAUGGUGCCUGAUGCGGAUUUUGUGCAAAAGGUGAAGGCUGACCUUGCAUUUGAUGUGAUCCUUGUCCAGAAACAAAAGAGGGUGGUGAAGUUUGUUGCCACCUUGGAUUAGGCACUGACUGCUGGCCUUGCAUUUGUGAUGAUCCUUGUCCUCCCAUGAAAGAAGGUGGUGAAGCUUGUUGCCAGCUAGGAUUAGGCACUGACUGCUGGCCUUGCAUUUGUGAUGAUCCUUGUCCUCCCAUGAACGAAGGUGGUGAAGCUUGUUGCCAGCUAGGAUUAGGCACUGACUGCUGGCCUUGCAUUUGUGAUGAUCCUUGUCCUCCCAUGAAAGAAGGCGAUGAAGAUUGUUGCGACAUGGAGCUAGGAGCAUAUGCUGCACUUUGCAUUUGUGGUGAUCCUUGUCCUCCCAUGAAAGAGGGAGGUGAAUUUUGCUGCCACAAUGAGUUACGAGCUGAAGGCUGACUUUGCACUUGUGCUGAUCCUUGUCCCCCGAAAAAAGAAGGUGGUGACGUCUGCUGGGCUGCAUAAAGACAUACAAGAAUUGACAGGUAGCAAAUGAUCAGCGCAGCAACUUUUGGGUAUAGAUAAUGACACUAGUGCCGUACAAUGAUGUGGGCUAAAUGUAGAUAAUGACACUAGUGCCGUACAAUGAUGUGGGCUAAAUUUUUCUCAACGUUCCUGCUUGGCAGAAGAAGGUUCUUUUAUCUUUUAAAAAAAUAUGAAAUUUGCCAAAAGUUGCACAAAAAUUUAAAAAUAAAGUAAAGAAUUAUAUAAAAUCAGCAAUUACUGAAAAAAGAAGAAGAUAGAAGUUAGGGAAUAUGCAAACUAGUAGAGUACCUGGAACCUGCGAAGUUACUGCUGAUUGUCUAGGUAUUUGUGAAAGCCAUGGAACUUGUCCUCGAGGUGGCCCUGAUGAUCUAGAAGAUGGGAAGUACGUCGGUUUUGUAGCAAAAACUCUUUCAAUCUCCUCACGACGACCUUGGUUACCAUAAGCAUCUAACAGGAACUCCCUGAGGGCACUGGUGAGACCAACACCAUAGUUUAUCAUCUGACUUACUAAAUUGGAACUCGCAUCAUAAUUACCUUCCCCACAGAGUGCCCUAAUCACAAUAUCAUAAGUUGUGACAUCAGGCUUUGGUUCUCUCUCACCCAUCUUGGUCAGAAUAGGGACGCACUCCGCCACCUUGCCUUUCUCAAUCAAGAAAUUAAACCAUUUUUCAGCAUAGAUUGGAAUGACUCUCAGCCCUGCUUCCACCAUCUUCGUGUAUUUCUCCAACGUGCCCUCAACAUUCUCCAUCUUCACAUAUGCCUCAAUCAUUGUCCUAUAAGUUGUGACAUCUGGGCUCAAUGACUUGUUACACAACUCCAUAUAAUAUUUUUCUGCUUCCUCCAUCAUUUCUAGGUCAGAAAGUCUCGUUAUCAUAUUAUUGUAACCCGCAACGUCCAUUGCAAAAGGUCUGGUCUUGAGACCCUUCCCCACCUUCUUGAAGGUCUCCAAGGCCUCUGAAACCUUCCCUAACCUAAAACACUCAUUCACCAUUAAAUUAAAAGUGUCUGAAUUCACAGCCUGGAACGUUGGUGGUGUGUGAUCAUCCAACAUGGCAUCAAACAAAGUCCACGCCUCCGUUUCCCUCCCAUGCCUCAACAACACCUCCAAUAGCACAUUACAAGUCGCAGGAACCAUCCUAUACUUUUUAUCAAGAAGGGAUCGAUACGAUUCCAUCGCCUCUUUUACCUUCCCCUGCUUGAAAAACCAGUCCAUAAAAGUAGCAUUCACCACCCCAUCAUAAACAGUACACCUCUCUUUCAACUCGUCAAACAGCUCAUUAGCUUUCUCUAAAUUAUCCAAAUUCAGGAACCCUAAUAUUAAAUUGUUAUAAACUAGAGAAUCUGCACCGUGUCCUUUAUUAAGCAUUUCCCUAAGCAAAUCUACAGCUUCAGCUAUACGGUCCGAAUCAAUUAAUCCUUUAGUAAGAUGACGAUAUGUCACAGCAGAUGGACUAAAAGGUGCAUUUUCAAGAAUAUGACUGUAUACUUUUAAGCCUUCAUCAACUUCACCAGCUUCACAAUGUGACACAAUGAGAUGAUUGUACGAAACAACGUUAGGAAUAAUAUUAUACUGAUUGAAAAAGUACUGAAACAAAGCCUUAGCAUCACUGUAUCGGCCGGCGCGAUACAUAGCACCGAUGAUAGCAUUACACGUGAAUACAGUCGGCCGUGUAUUUGAGAAAACGGCGUGACGAGCAACAGCGGCUGCGGAUUCCAAAUCCCCGGCGCGGAUGAGAGACUGAACACGAUUGUGAAGGUUAAGCCGGUGGCCGGUCAAUGCUGACGUGGUAUCAGGGAGACGGGAACGAGGGUCGUCGGGUGAAGGCGGUCCCCUCGGGAGUGGAUCACGACGGAGGGCGUUGAUUGGCGGUUCAAUACGGAGGCGGCGCUUGCGACGGCGG
rnacentral:lncRNA from 1 species